rnacentral:rRNA from 1 species
AUUGAACGCUGGCGGCAGGCCUAACACAUGCAAGUCGAACGAGUGGCGGACGGGUGAGUAAUGUCUGGGAAACUGCCUGAUGGAGGGGGAUAACUACUGGAAACUGUAGCUAAUACCGCAUACCAUCGGAUGUGCCCAGAUGGGAUUAUCUUGUAGGUGGGGUAAAGGCUCACCUAGGCGACGAUCCCUAUCUGGUCUGAGAGGAUGACGAGCCACACUGUAACUGAGACACGGGCAAGACUCCUACGGGAGGCAGCAGUGGGGAAUAUUGCACAAUGGGCGCAAGACUGAUGCAGCAAUGCCGAGUGUAUGAAGAAGGACUUCGGGUUGUAAAGUACUUUGAGCGGGGAGGCGGUACCAGAAGAAGAAGCACCGGCUAACUCCGUGCCAGCAGCCGCGGUAAUAG